GUGGGGAAUCUUGCGCAAUGGGCGAAAGCCUGACGCAGCCAUGCCGCGUGAAUGAUGAAGGUCUUAGGAUUGUAAAAUUCUUUCACCGGGGACGAUAAUGACGGUACCCGGAGAAGAAGCCCCGGCUAACUUCGUGCCAGCAGCCGCGGUAAUACGAAGGGGGCUAGCGUUGCUCGGAAUUACUGGGCGUAAAGGGCGCGUAGGCGGACAGUUUAGUCAGAGGUGAAAGCCCAGGGCUCAACCUGGGAAUUGCCUUUGAUACUGGCUGUCUUGAGUACGGGAGAGGUGAGUGGAACUCCGAGUGUAGAGGUGAAAUUCGUAGAUAUUCGGAAGAACACCAGUGGCGAAGGCGACUCACUGGCCCGUUACUGACGCUGAGGCGCGAAAGCGUGGGGAGCAAACAGGAUUAGAAACCCCAGUAGUCC
rnacentral:rRNA from 1 species